rnacentral:tRNA from 1 species
GCCUGGGUGGCUCAGUCGGUUAAGCAGCCGACUUCGGUUCAGGUCAUGAUCUCGCGGUCCGUGAGUUCGAGCCCCGCCUCGGGCU